rnacentral:rRNA from 1 species
AUUGAACGCUGGCGGCAGGCCUAACACAUGCAAGUCGAGCGAGCGGCGGACGGGUGAGUAAUGUAUGGGGCCUGCCCGAUAGAGGGGGAUAACUACUGGAAACGGUGGCUAAUACCGCAUACUAUCGGAUAACCCAUAUGGGAUUAGCUAGUAGGUGGGGUAAAGGCUCACCUAGGCCACGAUCACUAGCUGGUCUGAGAGGAUGAUCAGCAACACGGGGACUUAGACACGGCCAAAAGUACUAGGGAGGCAGCAGUGGGGAAUAGUGACCAAUGGGCGCAAGCCGGAUGAAGCCAUGCCGCGUGUAUGAAGAAGGCGUUAGGGUUGUAAAGUACUUUCAGAGGGGAGGCGUUACCCGCAGAAGAAGCACCGGCUAGCUCCGUGCCAGCAGCCGUGGUAAUUC